rnacentral:rRNA from 1 species
CAAUAGCGUAUAUUAAAGUUGUUGCAGUUAAAAAGCUCGUAGUUGGAUUUCUGGUGGGAGCGAUCGGUCUGGCGCUUAGCGCGAGUACUUGCAUCGUCUCCGGCCAUCCUUGGGGAGAGUCUGUCUGGCAUUGAGUUGUCGGGCAGAGGAUCCUCAUCGUUUACUGUGAAAAAAUUAGAGUGUUCAAAGCAGGCUUAUGCCGUUGAAUAUAUUAGCAUGGAAUAAUAAGAUAGGACUUUGGUACUAUUUUGUUGGUUUGCGCACCAAAGUAAUGAUUAAUAGGGACAGUUGGGGGUAUUCGUAUUCCGUUGUCAGAGGUGAAAUUCUUGGAUUUACGGAAGACGAACUACUGCGAAAGCAUUUACCAAGGAUGUUUUCAUUAA